UAAACAGUUAGGGAAAUCACAAAGGACUAACCAGUUCUUGGAGUCUUUGAAAGCAGAAGGGGAGGUUAUCCUUGAAGAUGUGCAGCCAAAAGUAGGCCAAUCUAGAUCAUCUGCCCCACCUUUAACUGAUCUCGUCACUUUGGCUGUUGAGGAGAAACUAAAUGUAACACUGAAACGAGAUGGUGGUGUCAGUAACUUUGAUGUUCAAGGAACACUGUCGCUGCAGAUUCUAAAUGCAGAAGAUGGGCAAAUCCAAGUUCAGGUAUAUUGAGAUGAUUUCUUUGGAGCAAUUUUUGACAACAUUUGUAGUUGAGGCCUUUAGAAUGGAAGAAUGUAUUUCACUAAUUUUUGUAUACAUUUCUUGUUUUGUAUUUAGUGAUAAAGGAAUCUGAAUUGGGCAUAAAUUAUGUUGUAAUAUGAUUUCUUAAGCCUAGACUAGUAGACUAAAUAUUGUAAUUACAUUUGAGUAAUUAAUAAAAAUCUAUUUAUGCUA